rfam:Ornithorhynchus anatinus chromosome X5, whole genome shotgun sequence.
CCCCUCUCAGGGUCGCACCUGGAGAGUUUCCAGGACUCUACCGGUCUCGACUACGGGAGGGAGAGUCAAGCAGAGGCCUUUCCCAUUCCAUUCCUAGCUUGGGCAGUGGCUAGCGAGUGGAAGGCCGUCUGCUACAAGU